ACAUAACUGAUGCCUCCGCGUAUCGACUUUGUGCGCAUUUUAGCUAUUAUGUGUUCUUUUAAUUAAAAUGAUUCUUUUUAAGAUUCAUCUAUUAAAAAUUUGCUUCGGCACAAUUUUUUUUGAUGAUCUUGUUACUUUGAGUAAAUUAGAGUGUUCAAAGCAAACAGAUAUAGCAUUUGUGCGUUUGAAUACUACAGCAUGGAAUAACAAAAUUGAACAAGUCAGAAUUUUUUUGUUCUUUUUUCUUAUUUUGGCUUAGUUACGAUUAAUAGGAGUAGCUUGGGGGCAUUUGUAUUCAGAUGUCAGAGGUGAAAUUCUUAGAUUUUCUGGAGACAAACAACUGCGAAAGCAUUUGCCUAAAAUACUUCCAUUAAUCAAGAACGAAAGUUAAGGGAGUGAAGACGAUCAGAUACCGUCGUAAUCUUAACCAUAAACUAUGCCGACUAGGCUUUGAAUGAAAGAUUUUAAAAUAAGAGUUUUUCUUUUCUCUCCGGAGAUUAGAACUCUUAGAUUGCUUCCUUCAGUGCCUUAUGAGAAAUCAAAGUCUUUGGGUUCUGGGGCGGGUAUUCGCGCAAGCGAGAAAGUUAAAAGAAUUGACGGAAGGGCACCACCAGGCGUGGAGCUUGCGGCUUAAUUUGACUCAACACGGGAAAACUCACUAGUUUAAGACAAGAGUAGGAUUGACAGAUUAAUAGCUCUUUCUUGAUUUCUUGGAUGGUGAUGCAUGGCCGUUUUUAGUUCGUGAAUAUGAUUUGUCUGGUUAAUUCCGAUAACGAACGAGAUCUUAACCUGCUAAUUAGCGGCAAAUACGAUAUAUUCUUAUGUAGAAUUGAAUAUAGUGGAUUUGUUGGAUUUUGAAGAAAAUAUUGGAAUUACGUUAAAUGUGAUUCCUUUCCCUUUUCUACUUAAUUUACAUUUCCAUCUAUUUCUUUUUUGCGUAUGAAUGUAUUUGCUUGAUUGUAAAGCUUCUUAGAGGAACGAUGUGUG
rnacentral:rRNA from 1 species